GGCUGGGAGAGUGCAUGGAAAUCGUGAAGUCUUUAUUGUCUUUCCCUUUUGAAAUAUUUUGGAAGGAGAGUUAAGAAUAGCUCAGGAAUUGGUCUUAUUCUUUUUAUGAGAAGAAUGACCAGAAGCAUAAAAGCUAAAUCUUCCUGCAAGUGCAAGACACCUUUUUCGGUGUUUGCAAUAAACCCAACAGAAUAAAUUGCUAUCUGUAAAGUACUGUACCAUGACACCUAAAAUGAAGGGAAUGGUAAAGCAAAGUAAUGGCUCAAAGGCUGCCACCGGGAGCUUUUGUCUACAUUUAACUCAUUGUGGCAAAGUUGGACAUUCCAAAGAUGGCAUAGAUGAACAUGACCAGGAAGAGUAGGAGGCCGAUGUUAAACAACGCAGGAAGGGACAUCAUCAAAGCAAAGAGCAGCGUGCGGAUCCCCUUUGCUCCUUUGAUCAGGCGCAAGAUUCGGCCAAUCCUGGCAAGACGGAUAACUCGGAACAAGCUUAGUCAUCCUUGUAUGUCACACAUGAAUUGCCCUGAUCACAAGAUGAAUUUUUCCUGAGAUAACUUCCACUCCUCUACCUCCAUUAUGAGCAGGUAAUAAAAUACUGUCUCUAAAUUUCUACUUUGGCAUUACUUUAGGCAAUGUGUUGCACUGUAUUGUACUGAUGUUACUGUUAUAUUAGAGACCUGUAUUGUCCUCUCUUUUC